rnacentral:tRNA from 1 species
GCUUCUAUAGUGUAACAUAACACUUUGGUUUUUCGUACCAGCAAUGAACAAUUUAGUUCUAGAAGUAC